rnacentral:tRNA from 1 species
AGAGAAUUAGUUAAAUUAUAACUUGAGCUUGUCGAGCUUAGAUUGCCUAGAAUAGGUAUUCUUUU